rnacentral:rRNA from 1 species
AGCGAACGCUGGCGGCAUGCCUAACACAUGCAAGUCGAGCGCUCCCAGCAAUGGGGGAGCGGCGGACGGGUGAGUAACGCGUAGGAACGUAUCCUGAGGUGGGGGAUAACCCUGGGAAACUAGGGCUAAUACCGCAUGAUGGCGAGAGCCCAAAGAUUUAUCGCCUUGGGAGCGGCCUGCGUCUGAUUAGCUUGUUGGUGGGGUAACGGCCUACCAAGGCGAUGAUCAGUAGCUGGUCUGAGAGGAUGAUCAGCCACACUGGGACUGAGACACGGCCCAGACUCCUACGGGAGGCAGCAGUGGGGAAUAUUGGACAAUGGGCGAAAGCCUGAUCCAGCAAUGCCGCGUGGAUGAAGAAGGUCUUCGGAUUGUAAAGUCCUUUCGGCGGGGACGAUGAUGACGGUACCCGCAGAAGAAGCCCCGGCUAACUUCGUGCCAGCAGCCGCGGUAAGGCGUAUGUGU